rnacentral:rRNA from 1 species
GACUAACGCUGGCGGCGUGCUUAACACAUGCAAGUCGAACGGAAAGGCCCUGCUUUUGUGGGGUGCUCGAGUGGCGAACGGGUGAGUAACACGUGAGUAACCUGCCCUUGACUUUGGGAUAACUUCAGGAAACUGGGGCUAAUACCGGAUAGGAGCUCCUGCUGCAUGGUGGGGGUUGGAAAGUUUCGGCGGUUGGGGAUGGACUCGCGGCUUAUCAGCUUGUUGGUGGGGUAGUGGCUUACCAAGGCUUUGACGGGUAGCCGGCCUGAGAGGGUGACCGGCCACAUUGGGACUGAGAUACGGCCCAGACUCCUACGGGAGGCAGCAGUGGGGAAUAUUGCACAAUGGGCGGAAGCCUGAUGCAGCAACGCCGCGUGCGGGAUGACGGCCUUCGGGUUGUAAACCGCUUUCGCCUGUGACGAAGCGUGAGUGACGGUAAUGGGUAAAGAAGCACCGGCUAACUACGUG